rnacentral:misc_RNA from 1 species
AAACUUUUGAAGACUGCCCUUGGUUGUUCUUUACCCAUUAGUUGGUCAGCCGAGGCAGUUGAUACAUCAGUUGGUGAAAGUGCCCACGAGCCAAGUGAUUUUCAUGGGGACUCCAGCAGUGAGAAGAUGGAUUCUGUGUCAGCUGCAGGAUUUGAGAUGGUGGAGCUCUUGAUACUUGCAGCUCAGAUAAUAAAAGAAAAUUCAACCAAAAAGGAUUUUGUAGAUGGAAACUAAUCUUUUCUGGUCUGUUUAGUCUUGGUUCCAUUUGGUACGUCUGAUGCCAGGACUGAGGACAUGUUAAAUUGGCCAAAGCAAGGUGCACAUAUGGAAAAUUUCUUUUGAAGGAAGCAAAGAAAACUUACGCAGUAUGAAGGAAGACUAUCUAAGUUGUUGUGCGUUAUAUUGUAUACAAAUUGAAAUGCAGUUAUCUUGUGAUUAUACAUUAUAAAAAUCCUGUUGUAAUUCUUCUUCUUCUUCUUGGGUGGGGAGGAGUUCAUUUCUGUGUAUACAAAUAUGGUUAAGACGCUUGCAUAAUGUACGGUGAUAUUUAUGAGAUUUUUGGCACAGAAAUUGAAUGAAUUCUAUAUGCUAA